UACAGAGGGUGCGAGCGUUGUCCGGAAUCACUGGGCGUAAAGGGCGCGUAGGUGGCGGGAUAAGUGUGUGGUGAAAGCUCGGGGCUCAACCCCGAGUCUGCCAUGCAGACUGUCUUGCUUGAGCGUAGUAGAGGCAGGUGGAAUUCCGGGUGUAGCGGUGGAAUGCGUAGAGAUCCGGAAGAACACCGGUGGCGAAGGCGGCCUGCUGGGCUACUGCUGACACUGAGGCGCGACAGCGUGGGGAGCAAACAGG
rnacentral:rRNA from 1 species